rnacentral:rRNA from 1 species
GACGAACGCUGGCGGCGUGCUUAACACAUGCAAGUCGAACGGUGAAGCGCCUUCCUUUUUGGUGGGUGUGGAUGAGUGGCGAACGGGUGAGUAACACGUGAGUAACCUGCCCCCUUCUUCUGGAUAACCGCAUGAAAGUGUGGCUAAUACGGGAUAUUCUGGGUCUGUCGCAUGAUGGGUCUGGGAAAGAUAUUGUUUCGGUGGGGGAUGGGCUCGCGGCCUAUCAGCUUGUUGGUGGGGUGAUGGCCUACCAAGGCGGUGACGGGUAGCCGGCCUGAGGGGGUGGCCGGUCACACUGGGACUGAGACGCGGCCCAGACUCCUACGGGAGGCAGCAGGGGGGAAUAUUGCACAAUGGGCGCAAGCCUGAUGCAGCGACGCCGCGUGAGGGAUGGAGGCCUUCGGGUUGUGAACCUCUUUCGCCAGUGAAGCAGGCCUGCCUCGUUUGUGGGUGGGUUGACGGUAGCUGGAUAAGAAGCGCCGGCUAACUACGUG